UACGUAGGGUGCAAGCGUUAAUCGGAAUUACUGGGCGUAAAGCGUGCGCAGGCGGUGAUGUAAGACAGAUGUGAAAUCCCCGGGCUCAACUUGGGAACUGCAUUUGUGACUGCAUUGCUGGAGUGCGGCAGAGGGGGGAUGGAAUUCCGCGUGUAGCAGUGAAAUGCGUAGAUAUGCGGAGGAACACCGAUGGCGAAGGCAAUCCCCUGGGCCUGCACUGACGCUCAUGCACGAAAGCGUGGGGAGCAAACAGG
rnacentral:rRNA from 1 species